CGGCGGACGGGUGAGUAACGCGUGGGUAACCUGCCUCAUACAGGGGGAUAACAGUUGGAAACGGCUGCUAAUACCGCAUAAGCGCACAGUACCGCAUGGUACCGUGUGAAAAACUCCGGUGGUAUGAGAUGGACCCGCGUCUGAUUAGCUAGUUGGUAAGGUAACGGCUUACCAAGGCGACGAUCAGUAGCCGACCUGAGAGGGUGAUCGGCCACAUUGGAACUGAGACACGGUCCAA
rnacentral:rRNA from 1 species